rnacentral:miRNA from 1 species
UUCCUUCAGGUCAACAGGGGAUAACAGCCCCAUUAACCAGAAGAGAUUCCUUCUGGUCAAUGAGGUAGAUCAACCUUAUUGACCAGAAAGGAUUUCUUCUGGUUCAUGAGGUAUAAUGACCUCAUUGACCGGAAUGAC